AAAUUACCCACUCCCAGCACGGGGAGGUAGUGACGAAAAAUAACGAUACGGGACUCAUCCGAGGCCCCGUAAUCGGAAUGAGUACACUCUAAAUCCUUGUUCAAGGAUCAAUUGGAGGGAAAGUCUGGUGCCAGCAGCCGCGGUAACACCAGCUCCAAUAGCGUAUAUUAAAGUUGUUGCGGUUAAAAAGCUCGUAGUCGAAUUUGUGUCCCGCGCCGCUGGUUCAUCGCUCGCGGUGUCCAACUGGCGUGUUCGCGGGACGUCCUGCCGGUGGGUUUCUGAGUGCGUUCGCGUACUCUAGCCCAACUCGUUGUCGCUUGCGCGGCUGCGAAUCCCAUCGCGGUGCUCUUUAUUGAGUGUCGAGGUGGGCCGGCACAUUUACUUUGAACAAAUUAAAGUGCUUAAAGCAGGCCAAUUUUGCCUGAAUACUGUGUGCAUGGAAUAAUGGAAUAGGACCUCGGUUCUAUUUUGUUGGUUUUCGGAACCCCGAGGUAAUGAUUAAUAGGAACGGAUGGGGGCAUUCGUAUUGCGACGUUAAAGUGAAAUUCUUGGAUCGUCGCAAGACGGACAUAAGCGAAAGCAUUUGCCAAAAACGUUUUCAUUGAUCAAGAACGAAAGUUAGAUGUUCGAAGGCGAUCAGAUACCGCCCUAGUUCUAACCAUAAACGAUGCCAGCUAGCGAUCCGCCGACGUUCCUCCGAUGACUCGGCGGGCAGCUUCCGGGAAACCAAAGCUUUUGGGUUCCGGGGGAAGUAUGGUUGCAAAGCUGAAACUUAAAGGAAUUGACGGAAGGGCACCACCAGUAGUGGAGCAUGCGGCUUAAUUUGACUCAACACGGGACAUCUAACCAGGCCCAGACACCGGAAGGAUUGACAGAUUGAGAGCUCUUUCUUGAUUCGGUGGGUGGUGGUGCAUGGCCGUUCUUCGUUGGUGUAGUGAUUUGUCUGGUUAAUU
rnacentral:rRNA from 1 species